UGGGGAAUUUUGGACAAUGGGGGAAACCCUGAUCCAGCCAUCCCGCGUGUGCGAUGAAGGCCUUCGGGUUGUAAAGCACUUUUGGCAGGAAAGAAACGUCAUGGGGGAAUACCCCGUGAAACUGACGGUACCUGCAGAAUAAGCACCGGCUAACUACGUGCCAGCAGCCGCGGUAAUACGUAGGGUGCAAGCGUUAAUCGGAAUUACUGGGCGUAAAGCGUGCGCAGGCGGUUCGGAAAGAAAGAUGUGAAAUCCCAGAGCUCAACUUUGGAACUGCAUUUUUAACUACCGGGCUAGAGUGUGUCAGAGGGAGGUGGAAUUCCGCGUGUAGCAGUGAAAUGCGUAGAUAUGCGGAGGAACACCGAUGGCGAAGGCAGCCUCCUGGGAUAAAACUGACGCUCAUGCAAGAAAGCGUGGGGAGCAAACAGG
rnacentral:rRNA from 1 species